rnacentral:rRNA from 1 species
AGUAGGGCGGGACACGUGUUAUCCUGUCUGAAUAUGGGGGGACCAUCCUCCAAGGCUAAAUACUCCUGACUGACCGAUAGUGAACCAGUACCGUGAGGGAAAGGCGAAAAGAACCCCUGUGAGGGGAGUGAAAUAGAACCUGAAACCGUGUACGUACAAGCAGUAGGAGCACCUUCGUGGUGUGACUGCGUACCUUUUGUAUAAUGGGUCAGCGACUUAUAUUCAGUGGCAAGGUUAACCAUCUAGGGGAGCCGUAGGGAAACCGAGUCUUAACUGGGCGCCAUAGUCUCUGGAUAUAGACCCGAAACCGAGUGAUCUAGCCAUGGGCAGGUUGAAGGUUGAGUAACAUCAACUGGAGGACCGAACCGACUAAUGUUGAAAAAUUAGCGGAUGACUUGUGGCUAGGGGUGAAAGGCCAAUCAAACUCGGAGAUAGCUGGUUCUCCCCGAAAGCUAUUUAGGUAGCGCCUCGGACGAAUACUACUGGGGGUAGAGCACUGUUAAGGCUAGGGGGUCAUCCCGACUUACCAACCCUUUGCAAACUCCGAAUACCAGUAAGUACUAUCCGGGAGACACACGGCGGGUGCUAACGUCCGUCGUGGAGAGGGAAACAACCCAGACCGCCAGCUAAGGUCCCAAAUUACAGCUAAGUGGGAAACGAUGUGGGAAGGCUUAGACAGCUAGGAUGUUGGCUUAGAAGCAGCCAUCAUUUAAAGAAAGCGUAAUAGCUCACUAGUCGAGUCGGCCUGCGCGGAAGAUGUAACGGGGCUAAGUUGUAAACCGAAGCUGCGGCAAUAUCUUUUAGAUAUUGGGUAGGGGAGCGUUCUGUAAGCCGUUGAAGGUGUGUUGUAAAGCAUGCUGGAGGUAUCAGAAGUGCGAAUGCUGACAUGAGUAACGACAAGGGGGGUGAAAAACCUCCCCGCCGGAAGACCAAGGGUUCCUGUCCAACGUUAAUCGGGGCAGGGUAAGUCGACCCCUAAGGCGAGGCCGAAAGGCGUAGUCGAUGGGAAACGGGUUAAUAUUCCCGUACUUCUUACAAUUGCGAUGGGGGGACGGAGAAGGCUAGGUGGGCCUGGCGACGGUUGUCCAGGUUCAAGUGCGUAGGCUGAGUGUUUAGGUAAAUCCGGAUACUCUUAAGGCUGAGACACGACGUCGAGCUACUACGGUAGUGAAGUCAUUGAUGCCAUGCUUCCAGGAAAAGCCUCUAAGCUUCAGAUUGUAAGGAAUCGUACCCCAAACCGACACAGGUGGUCGGGUAGAGAAUACCAAGGCGCUUGAGAGAACUCGGGUGAAGGAACUAGGCAAAAUGGUACCGUAACUUCGGGAGAAGGUACGCUCUUGAUGGUGAAGUCCCUUGCGGAUGGAGCUGACGAGAGUCGCAGAUACCAGGUGGCUGCAACUGUUUAUUAAAAACACAGCACUGUGCAAAAUCGUAAGAUGACGUAUACGGUGUGACGCCUGCCCGGUGCCGGAAGGUUAAUUGAUGGGGUUAGCGUAAGCGAAGCUCUUGAUCGAAGCCCCGGUAAACGGCGGCCGUAACUAUAACGGUCCUAAGGUAGCGAAAUUCCUUGUCGGGUAAGUUCCGACCUGCACGAAUGGCGUAAUGAUGGCCACGCUGUCUCCACCCGAGACUCAGUGAAAUUGAAAUCGCUGUGAAGAUGCAGUGUACCCGCGGCUAGACGGAAAGACCCCGUGAACCUUUACUACAGCUUGGCACUGAACAUUGAACCUACAUGUGUAGGAUAGGUGGGAGGCUUUGAAGACGUGACGCCAGUUGCGUUGGAGCCGUCCUUGAAAUACCACCCUUGUA